rnacentral:lncRNA from 1 species
GAUCGAAUUAAAUUAUCUUCAAGGUGCAAUUCAUCUCUAUGCUUUUUGUGCUAAAAAGGAAUGAGAAAGAGAUAAAAAGUAAACAAGAAGAUAGAGGGACAGAAGGCAGGCAGGCAGGCAGGAAGGCUGAAUAUGUGAUUGCUAUGCUUAAUAUUUGAUCAAAAUAACUGAUUAUUUGCUAUAACUAUGUUAAAUUCCUAGGACCUCUAUAUUGACUGUUUAGUUUAAAAUAAAUGCCACAUUCAAAAGACUAUUCCAGGGGAGACCAAUUCAAGAAGGCUUAGCAGGAAAAGGUCUUACCUGAAGAUAACGAGUGAACGGAUGAGUUUGUUGUUCUCUAUUACAGACUGUUUACCCAUUAAAAGCACAUAGCAAGAAAUAAUUUCUAUGACUAUAAACUAAAAACCCCAAUGAUAGAUUCCAAAAUUGCCUUCCAACCUGUUCUUUGUUCUAAAUCUAGUUUUCUGGUAUUAAUAUUCAGAGUUUAUCCUUCACCAAAAGAGUCUAAUUAUGGAAGAAUGAUCAGAUUGGUGAUGAGUAAUUCAACUGCGGAUGAAAUUCUACAGGUUUUGAAACUCUUGAGGCCAGGGACUGUCUGA